rnacentral:sRNA from 2 species
AUGUACCACGCGUCCACUGCAUUCUGAGCGCGCCGUCCGCGCCCACCUGACGGCUGCUCGCGACGUUUUAUUAGCC